rnacentral:lncRNA from 1 species
AAAAGUAUGGAAAAUGUUUCGAAGAGCUGAGUUGACAAUACUCAAGAUUUCUUACAUUUUUGGGUAAAAAUUGGUUUGGUUUUUGCAAUUGAUCCCCAUUCUGAAAUCUUCAAAAACUUUCUCUUUUAUUGUGGGAUUCAAAGAAUCAUUUGAAGGCUGCUGGUCACUAUUCAAUUUGCUGGUUUUGAGUUGAUUUUCUUGUUGUUUCUUCAUUGCUAAAUUGCUCUUGCUACUGAUUCAUAACUUCAGAAUUUGGUGUUGUUUAUUUUCUGUAAACAGGUAUUCUCAAAAUGUCAUGGACAUCACCUAGGUGUAUUUGAAGUUUGGGUAUGAAAUUUGAAUAAGAAAUGACGAAAUUCAUAUAAUCUUAUUCCUUUUGUUCAACCUCAUAUAUGCUUGUAAUAUUCAGCCUUAAAAUUGUUUCAAUUAGUAUAAUGAUAUAAUUUUACUGUUAUGGCAUAUAAAAAGUAGGACUGUGCUGUGGAUUGUGAAGUUUCAUAGUAAUUGUAAUUGGAUUUUGAUUGGUAUGUGUUAAUUCAACUUGUUUUGGGUUCAUUUCUUAGAGUUAUAUUGGUAAUGCUGUGGUAAGAUCAAAAAAGGAGAUCCCUAAGAGUUCUUUAGCAAAAUAUGAAUGUUUAAUAAGGCUAGGUUCAAAGAUUGCAUUCUUCAGUAGCAUAUGUAUCUUUUUGUGUUAUCUUUAUAUGCUCAUUUGUCAAAAGUAAGUCUAUGUGAUUGAGAAUCCGGGGUAAUUUUGUUAAGAUCCAAGUAAAUUUGUAUGUUGACUUCAGGGAUUUUGAUAAUAUUGGAGCAUGCUUAUCUCAAUUUGAAUGUAUAUAUUAGAUGGUGGUAUAAAUGGCAUGUGUUAACUUUUACAAUUAGUUGUGCACGGGCAAUUUAAAUUAGAAAUGGUGUUGGAAUUCCAGGAUGGCUAAUUUGUUAACUUGUACUUAAAUAACUUGAAAUCUAUAAGUCGAAAGUUAAUUCCAUUUCAUGUUUCAUGUAGUAUCUUGAUUGAUUUACGAUUAAUCUAUUGUGCAGAAAGGCUAGUUCUGAACUUGGGCCUAGUGAUGACCUAAUUAAUGAAAUCAGGGCCAUUUUGAGAUUGACAAUGACCUUAUUCACUAAAGGAAUUGGACUCACCUUGUUGCUUCAAAUUAUCUGAUGUUUGCAUGCAUGGAGAUGUGAUCUUGAGUCCUGCUUCCGCCGAUGCUUAAUCCUCCAAGGAUUUGGGCUCACGAUUGGGCCUGAGUUGGAGAUCAACCGUAUUUCUUAAUAUAUAGGGCCAGUGGUUCGAGCCAAGGCUCUUUUAUCUCCAUCUGUAAUCAGCGUGCAUCCGGUUUUUUUUCUCAUGAUUGGUCUGCUAAUUUAAAAUUACUUCAACUUCUUAGUCCAAAGUAGUUGAUAGAUCUUUCCCCUUAUUUAACUAGAAUUCACUAAUCGAAUCAUGAGGUGAGCCAUAUU